rnacentral:rRNA from 1 species
AUUGAACGCUGGCGGAAUGCUUUACACAUGCAAGUCGAACGGCAGCACGGACUUCGGUCUGGUGGCGAGUGGCGAACGGGUGAGUAAUGUAUCGGAACGUGCCCAGUCGUGGGGGAUAACGUAGUGAAAAUUACGCUAAUACCGCAUACGCUCUAUGGAUGAAAGCGGGGGAUCGCAAGACCUCGCGCGAUUGGAGCGGCCGAUAUCAGAUUAGGUAGUUGGUGGGGUAAAGGCCCACCAAGCCAACGAUCUGUAGCUGGUCUGAGAGGACGACCAGCCACACUGGAACUGAGACACGGUCCAGACUCCUACGGGAGGCAGCAGUGGGGAAUUUUGGACAAUGGGCGAAAGCCUGAUCCAGCCAUUCCGCGUGCAGGAUGAAGGCCCUCGGGUUGUAAACUGCUUUUGUACAGAACGAAAAGGUUUCUACUAAUACUAGGAGCUCAUGACGGUACUGUAAGAGUAAGCACCGGCUAACUACGUGCCAGCAGCCGCCGUAA